rnacentral:rRNA from 1 species
GAUGAACGCUGGCGGCGUGCCUAAUACAUGCAAGUCGAGCGAACGGACGAGAAGCUUGCUUCUCUGAUGUUAGCGGCGGACGGGUGAGUAACACGUGGAUAACCUACCUAUAAGACUGGGAUAAUUUCGGGAAACCGGAGCUAAUACCGGAUAAUAUUUUGAACCGCAUGGUUCAAAAGUGAAAGACGGUCUUGCUGUCACUUAUAGAUGGAUCCGCGCUGCAUUAGCUAGUUGGUAAGGUAACGGCUUUCCAAGGCAACGAUGCAUAGCCGACCUGAGAGGGUGAUCGGCCACACUGGAACUGAGACACGGUCCAGACUCCUACGGGAGGCAGCAGUAGGGAAUCUUCCGCAAUGGGCGAAAGCCUGACGGAGCAACGCCGCGUGAGUGAUGAAGGUCUUCGGAUCGUAAAACUCUGUUAUUAGGGAAGAACAUAUGUGUAAGUAACUGUGCACAUCUUGACGGUACCUAAUCAGAAAGCCACGGCUAACUACGUG